CGGCACGUAGCGCAGCCUGGUAGCGCACCGUCAUGGGGUGUCGGGGGUCGGAGGGUCAAAUCCUCUCGUGCCGACCA
rnacentral:tRNA from 1 species